rnacentral:rRNA from 1 species
AGUGAACGCUGGCGGCAGGCCUAACACAUGCAAGUCGAACGGCAGCACAGGAGAGGUUGCUCUCUGGGUGGCGAGUGGCGGACGGGUGAGGAAUACAUCGGAAUCUACCUUUUCGUGGGGGAUAACGUAGGGAAACUUACGCUAAUACCGCAUACGACCUACGGGUGAAAGUGGGGGACCGCAAGGCCUCACGCGAUUAGAUGAGCCGAUGUCCGAUUAGCUAGUUGGCGGGGUAAUGGCCCACCAAGGCGACGAUCGGUAGCUGGUCUGAGAGGAUGAUCAGCCACACUGGAACUGAGACACGGUCCAGACUCCUACGGGAGGCAGCAGUGGGGAAUAUUGGACAAUGGGCGCAAGCCUGAUCCAGCCAUACCGCGUGGGUGAAGAAGGCCUUCGGGUUGUAAAGCCCUUUUGUUGGGAAAGAAAUCCUGUCGAUUAAUACUCGGUGGGGAUGACGGUACCCAAAGAAUAAGCACCGGCUAACUUCGUGCCAGCCGCCGCAGUAACAC